rnacentral:rRNA from 1 species
AGACCCGAAACCCGGUGAUCUAGCCAUGGGCAGGUUGAAGGUUGGGUAACACUAACUGGAGGACCGAACCGACUAAUGUUGAAAAAUUAGCGGAUGACCUGUGGCUGGGGGUGAAAGGCCAAUCAAACCGGGAGAUAGCUGGUUCUCCCCGAAAGCUAUUUAGGUAGCGCCUCGUGAAUUCAUCUCCGGGGGUAGAGCACUGUUUCGGCUAGGGGGCCAUCCCGGCUUACCAACCCGAUGCAAACUGCGAAUACCGGAGAAUGUUAUCACGGGAGACACACGGCGGGUGCUAACGUCCGUCGUGAAGAGGGAAACAACCCAGACCGCCAGCUAAGGUCCCAAAGUCAUGGUUAAGUGGGAAACGAUGUGGGAAGGCCCAGACAGCCAGGAUGUUGGCUUAGAAGCAGCCAUCAUUUAAAGAAAGCGUAAUAGCUCACUGGUCGAGUCGGCCUGCGCGGAAGAUGUAACGGGGCUAAACCAUGCACCGAAGCUGCGGCAGCGAACGUAUCACCCAAGACAACUUUACGGAGUUGACGAUUGACGGAGCGAAGCGACGUCAAAGCGUUCAUUAAAGUCGAGUUGGCUUAGGGGUACGUUCGUUGGGUAGGGGAGCGUUCUGUAAGCCUGUGAAGGUGUGUCGUGAGGCAUGCUGGAGGUAUCAGAAGUGCGA